AACUCACAAGCUGCAAGAUCGUGACCUGAGCCAAAGUCGGAUGGUUAACCGACUGAGCCAUCCAGGCGCCCCUAAAUAGUAAUUUCUUAAUCUUUUUAUAAUUAUACCCAUGUAUUAUCAAACCACUGCCUUCACAAAUCUUGCGUAACUCUCCUUGGCAAUUCUGAUUCCUGGCCCCCCCCCCCCCCCGCCCCAGUGAAGAGUUGGUAUUCUGGAUGAACCCAAAAAUGCUUUGGUCACUUCUCCAUUUUUGUCUCUUCAGGAGUAAGUGGAGUUGUCAGGUUGGCAGAUAAACCUGUUCCAGUGUGUGAAUGGCUGGUUUUAAAGUAGUAAAAUUGUACUUUUUAGUACCAUAAUGUCUAUAAAAAGAAUUGGGUGAUGGAAGUUGGUACUAUCAGAGACAGCACCUGUGAACAAAGUCACGUGUAUGUGUGUAUAGGGUGUCUGUGUAAAUAUCUGUAUCUUAAUACGUUUGUUUCCCUCCAGCCUAAGCUCCUACUUGAUGGACUGGUUUUGCUCCCCCCCCUCCCCCGCUCUCUCCCUUCUCUGCCUGCCAGGAGCCUCUGCCCUGCUCCCUGCAUUCCAGGUUUGCUGAACUGCUGUGCUCCCCCUGACUGCCACGCUGUUUCGUCCAUCUUCCCAUCUCGUAAUUUAUCGUGUGCCUGAUGCCCUUUCGGACGCUCCCUCGUUCCUCCGUCUGCACUGUGUCUUUGGAGACCUACCUCAGAUACCGUGUCUUGGUAGCCUUUCCUGACCGUGGAGAAGACGUGGAUCCCUGUUGCGUGGGCGCGCUGUGCUCCAGAACUUGGCACUUGCACAACCGGUUACUGAUAGCAGUGCUGUGCUGAUUUCACGUUGUGUCUCUUUACCUCUUCUGAAGUACAGGGUGGACUUUGUCAUUUGUACUUCCAGCUUCUCUUCAUACAGGGCUCGGAGCUGACAGACGCAAUAAAUACUUGCUGCCUGACCAGCUUAAUGAAUGAAUAAAUGAAGGUACUGUUUUCUGAAGUUUCUGUCUUGUUCAGUACAGGACAGAGCAGCAAGGCAGGCACCUAGAGAGAACGAAGAGGGUGUUGAUGUUGUCGAGACAGUGCUCCGGGACUGUAGACACGCAGCGAAGUUGUGACUUGGUGGGUGGUGUGCAGGCGAGAGGAACAGAGGAGUCACAUAAUGAAGAGCCUGUUGGAGUCACCCUGGUUAUCUUGUGCUUGAAACGUGCUCAGAACGUGCUUGAAACGUGCCAGAAACGUGUGGGCAGGUCAUGCCUGACAACGACAACUGGGGAGACUCCUCAUCUGUUAGGUGCUGUUCGGGAGGCCUGCAUCUUAACACGUGUGUGAGGUUCAUGGCCAGAACACAGCACGGUGCAAAGUGUCACUCGUCUUCCUACUUGUUCACCGUAAACGGUGGCCGAACACGCCAGCCCAAGACGGCCACCCCACUUUGGCAUAAGAUGAUUUGAGCAAAAGGCACUUGUAAAACAGCAGGUACAAGAAGAACGUCCGUAUCUCCCCCUUUCUUCCUGAGAGCAGGACACAGACCAGGGUGAAGUUGCUGUCCCUGUACCAGGGGGAAGGAAGUGGUCUUGCCAAGGGGACAGGAGCCCAGGACGGGAGAAUUCUUGUUGAAAUAACUCCUACCCAGGUAUUUUGGAUACUUUCCCACUGUCCCUUUCUGUUCACACUAGCGUGAAACCUCUCGUUUUUGCCAAUCCUGGGUCCUCUCCUUAUGAGGGCUCCCUCCCAUGUGAUGAAAAACUUAUGUAAAAUAAACUUGUGUGUCUUUCUCCUGCUAAGUCGCAGGCCCAGGCCAGAGACCCCAAGAGGGUUGAGAGAAUGGCAUUCCUCCCUCCACCAGACGGAGUGCCUCCAGCGCAGGACCCUGUCUGUCUUGCUUCCCUCCCACUGACUCCUCAGUCCCAGAGCCCCUCGGGCAGGAAGUGAGGACUGUCUGCCGAGUAAAUGAUCUGUGUCCACAGCACCCACCCAUCUCCUUCCCGCCUCAGCCCAUUCACACUCAGACCAGCAUCAGCAUAAGGGAGGACAGUGGUUUGCUUACAUGCAUCCUUUAGGAAGACACGUGCCCUUACAGGGCUUGAGCAGCUGACAAAACAAGGACUUCUCUGUGUAUACACUGGCACAUACUAAUGCUCCAUGUUCCCAGUGGAGCUCCAGGAGCUAAAAAUAACCACGCGUGUUCUGUUUUAUACAGAAAAGAGGAAAUGUGCAGCUUAGUUUGUAACAUUUACUAUUUUUGAAAACCUGAUUUUUUUCCACAUGUAUUUUUAAAAUGUCUUUGGUGAUGUCCUUGCAGGAAAAUGCACAAUGCAGAUUUCACCAAAGGUCCCUCCAUUCUGUAAUCCACAUCUUCAGGAAACAAUUGCUGGAGACCAGAUACACUUGACCAUGAGAUGGGUUUUCGGGAAGCCGCCCAGAUGCAGAUCACCAGGGGUCAUAGGAGGGCCAAAGGGCCCCGGGACCUCGGAAGCCAGGUCUCUGCCUAGUCUGCCCCCUGUGCAAGGAGGGGCACACGAUCCCAUGACCACAGGCUGACAGUGGGAGCGCGGGCCUCUGUCAUCCUGAGAGAUGAGCGAGAGGUGACCGUCACGCAGUGUCGCUCUGACCGCCACUGAGCGUGGUCUUUCGUGAAAAGAUGGGAGGGAGUGUGUGCUACAGGUCUUCAUCUCGUACUGCGUAUUUGCUCCUUAAGUGAGUGUGGGGAGGGUCUUGGUUUCCAAGGCUCCCCUGUAAGAGACGGCAGGCUAUGAUGGUCAUGAGCUGGUGGUGUUCGGUGUUGUUCGCUGCCCUUCCUUCUCACAGGGACGCUGGAAGGUUAAAAAAUAUGUAAAGAACAAAUGAAGUAAAAAGGAAGAGACACAAGUUGCCUACAGCACAGGAAGUUGGGAACGUGGGAGCCGUGUUUAUGAAGAAUGUUCGACAACAGUGGAAUCUGUCCACAGCAUGCUGUUCAUGGAGGUAAGUUUACAGACUAGUGUAGCCAAAGUUUUCCCAGUCAAACAAGUACGCAGAGAUGUGAAGGUCGGGGAGGUUCGGGACAGCAGGUGGACUUGGUAUGGGAUUCGGCACGCGCAGAGACAGGAGGAUGGAGGAGGGGGAGGGGCUAGGUCACCUUUAGGAAGCAGGGCGACGGGGGACCCUCCCAGGCUUACUUACGGCUGGGCCUUCCCUUGGGAAACCAGCCCCAGGAUCAGCUCAAACUCAGAGUCUGGUGGCGGUUGGACUCUCACAAGCCCCCCAAGCUGGGCACACUCCCAGGGCCGAGCACGAAAGGUAGUGAGCCUUCCAAGGACGUGGCUCCCAUGUCUGCCAUGGCCUCUGGGCUGCAGCUGGGGCUGUCAGGGAGUGUUGCGUUCCCCAGGCUGGACCACGUGCUCCCCACCCUCCAUGCUGCUCCUUCCGCAUACGGCCACCCUCUGGAAGGACAGCACUCUCCCCCAGACUCCCACCGUGACUCUCCUGUCCUGAGUGGACCCCAUCCCUCUGUGGAAGGGAGCAGCCUCAGUGCAGGCCCAGGCUCUGGGAGGAAGCUCCAGGCACAGCUGCCAACUGUGAACAUUCAGGAGCAGCCAGCCGCCAACGCAGGGCCAUGGUGACAGGUGCUGUGGACAGGUCUCUGUCACUGGGCGUGUCCACCCUGAUUAGCGUCUGCGUCUCCAGCCUGGCUUGUCUUGGGCCCUGCCUGCGCCAGCCUGUCAUUUGCCAGGAACUGGAGACGGGGAGCUUCUGUAAUGAGAAGAUAGUUGUCAAGCUCUGUUUCUCUCCAACACCCGAAGCUCCCGACAAGGAUUAUAAUCGAAGCCUGAUUUGCAAGGACAUGAACCCAUUCUCUGGCGGCUGUGAGAUGCUGCUUCUCGGGGUCUCUGGGUCCAGCGUGUGUGGGGUGGGGGGCUCAGAGGAGGAUUCAGGUGCAAGAGAAGCAGCCCCAAAUGAUCUGGGCUUCCACAGCAGGGCCGGUGCCUGUGGGCCUGGGGUCAGGCUAUAGGAGUUCAGAACCCAGCAGUUAGUCACUCUCUCCAUGCCUCAGUUUCCCCAACUCUGCAAUGGGUGUAAUAACAAUACUUACUACUUCAUAGACCUUUUAAGAAGCAACUACAAUAUGUAGAAACUCCCAGAGCAGAGGCUGGCACGGAGGGAACUCACCCUGAAGUGUUAGCUGACUGUAAGAGCAGCCUAAUGUCAGUUCUAAUAACAGAGUAGGCACCAGGCAUGUGUGGGGCCCUUGCUUGGCCUCUGGCCACUCAGUGCAGAGCAGGUGAAGGGCUCUGGGCUGGAGUUUUGUCACUGCCCAUAAAAAACACAGCUACCCAUUGGUUGCUUCCUAAAGGAUAGACAGUGAGAGGGGUCCAGGGUUACCCCAGUCACCCCAACCAUUUGGCACAACCUGCUCUGGUGCCCCAGGUGCCCCCGUAAUUGAUCUAAUUGGCCUGGACCAUGAGAGGCCAGGGAGCUGGGCUGUGACCUGCGUUUCGCAGCCAAGGGUGGACUGAUGGAUGUGUCUAGCAGGCCCAGCCCCUCAGCAGCUCUCCUUAGUGGUAUUUUCUGACCCAUCUGGGAGCAAGGACUGGCUGGAGCCCUGGGCCUCACAACAAGGUUGUUGCCCCUUCCUUGGACUCACAGGGCAAGCAGCGGUGUUGGGAUGUGUCCCUUGAUGGUGGCCCAACUUGAGGGGUCCCUGGGCUCCCAGGAGAUAGCCAGCCUGGGGGAAUCUCCUCCUGACAGGAGUCUCACUGGACGGACACCUGCACUUCUAGUGGUGGAAUGAGGAUGAGGGAUGUGCACUUCCUGGCCAGAUCGAGGCCCAGGCUCACUGGCCGGUGGUCUUCUGCCACCCUCUGCAGUUCUCCCAGGCAGACCCCAGCACAGAGAUGCAGGUGAGGCUGGAACUAGAGGGAAAGUUGUAGCCUCAGUGCAUAUGUGAGAAUAUAGGGAAAUCUAAUCCCUGAUAAGUUGAGCAUUUGUCGUGCAUUAGGAAAGGAGAAGUAAAACUACAGGUGACCCUUGAGUAACAUGGGUUUGAACUGCAUGGGUCACUUAUACAAGGGUUUUUUUUUUUUUUCUUCAAUAAAUUCUGUACAGUACUUUAAAUGCACUUCUUCUUCCUUAUGAUAUCUUAGUAACAUUUCUUCUCUAGCUUACUUUACUGUAAGAAUACAGUAUGUAAUACGUGUAACAUACAACAUAUGCGGUAAUCAACUGUUUAUGUUAUCAGUAAAGCUUCUGGUCAAUUGUAAGGUAUGAGUAGUUAAGUUUCUGAGGCGUCAGAAGUUACACAUGGAUUUCCAACUGUGUGGGGAAUUGGUGCCCCUACCCCCGUGUCGUUCCAGGUCAACUGUGUUCUAUGACACCCAUACGUAGUGAACCCAGUGCCUGAAAUGGAAAGACUGACAGUACUAAGUAUCAGCACGGGUGUGUAGCUGCCGAGAUUCUGCGGGCCUGCAAGUGGAUGUUGGUAAGUGCAUGGGAUCUUUUUUAUUUCUGGAUCUGAGUACAAAGUACACACGUGUUUUCACUUUAUAAAGCUUUUGUGUAUGUAAGCCACA